rnacentral:tRNA from 1 species
AAAAAUCUAGUUUAAAUAAAAAUAUUAAUUUGUCAAAUUAAAGUUAUAAUAAUGGUUUUUG